AUGGCUGCCGAAAACAAGCCGGAAGGACUGAAGAAAGUUCGUAAUCCGGAUCGAAUGUACAGAUCAGCAGUGUGUUAUGCUGGCCAUGGUCCACCUAAGAAUAUCAGUGAUGACACAGAGACGAACAAUGAACAUGGACAUUUGAAAAUAUACCUGCCCAAGAAGCUGCUUGAAUGUCUACCAAAAUGCACGUCGCUGCCAAAGGAGAGACACCGGUGGAACACUAAUGAGGAGAUCGCGGCUUACUUGAUAACAUUUGAAAAGCAUGAAGAAUGGCUAACGACAUCCCCUAAAACAAGGCCGCAGAAUGGGUCGAUGAUACUGUACAAUAGGAAGAAGGUGAAGUACAGAAAGGAUGGCUACUGCUGGAAGAAGAGGAAAGAUGGGAAGACCACACGGGAGGAUCACAUGAAGUUGAAAGUGCAGGGAGUUGAGUGUCUGUAUGGCUGCUACGUCCACUCCUCCAUCAUCCCUACCUUCCACCGUAGGUGCUACUGGCUUCUCCAGAACCCUGAUAUUGUGCUCGUCCACUAUUUGAAUGUUCCAGCGAUCGAGGAUUGUGGGAAACCAUGUGGACCUAUCCUGUGUUCCAUCAAUACAGACAAGAAAGAGUGGGCCAAGUGGACCAAGGAGGAACUGAUCGGCCAGCUCAAACCCAUGUUUCAUGGCAUCAAGUGGACUUGCAGCAAUGGGAACAGCAGCUCUGGCUUCUCAGUGGAGCAGCUAGUGCAACAGAUUCUGGACAGCCACCAAACUAAGCCACCUCCCCGGACUCACAACUGCCUCUGCACGGGCACCCUGGGUGCAGGAAGCAGUGUGCACCACAAAUGCAACAGUGCCAAACACCGCAUUAUCUCCCCAAAAGUGGACCCCCGCUCAGGGGGAUACAGCAGUGCCCACUCAGAGGUACAGAACAACGAUGUGUCUGAGGGGAAGACAGAGCACAGUGCCCAUGGGGGUAGCACCAGGGAGAAACGCAAUGGCAAAGUCCACAAGCCUGUCCUGCUACACCAGAACAGCACAGAGGUGUCAUCUACAAACCAGGUUGAGGUCCCUGACACCACCCAGAACUCACCUGUCUCCAUCAGCAGCGGCCUCAACAGCGAUCCGGACAUGGCUGAUAGCCCUGUGGUGACAGGGAUGAGUCAUGUGGCCUCUGUCAUGUCUGGCCUGUCUCAGAGUGUCUUUAUGUCUGAGGUCCCUGGAGACCCUGUCUACAGCAUGUCUCCUACUGGGGGUCCAAAUACUCACCUCAUGGGUGCAGAUGCCACUUCACAGGGCCUGGUGCUGUCUGUGACCUCUGAUCGUCACAAAUUUGCUUUCCCCAGUGGAGGUGUAGGAGAACCUGGGACUACCACUGCAGGAGACAGUCUUUCCAUGUUGUCUACAGCUGGGGUGUCUGAGGAACUGGUGCUCUCCAGCAGUCUGGACUCGGGAACCAUCAAGAUCCCAGAAACUAAUAUGAACUUUGAUCCCGACUGCUUCCUGAACAACCCCAAACAAGGCCAGACCUAUGGAGGCAGCGCAAUGAAGACAGAGGGAAACUCCUCCACCUCUCUACAACGCUCCCCCACCAUGUCAGAUAACACCUACACUUUCAACUCAGCUCUCGUAAAGAACAUCAAAACGGAAGAUACAUCAUUUGAACAGCAGCUGGCCAAGGAGAGUGGCUACCAGGUGGGGGCAGUAGUGAACUGUGGCAGUGGCGGCAGCCUCAGUCUGACAGCCACGGGCUCCCUGCUUCCAUCUGGAGGUGGUUUGAGUCCCAGCACUACCUUGGAGCAAAUGGAUUUCAGUGCCAUCGAUGCCAAGCAAGACUAUACGUCCAGCACUACCACAGUGAGCUAUGGUCAAGCCAUGUCCAGUCCUCACAUGCAACAUCAGAAUCGUUCACCCAGCUUCUUCCUCCAGGAUGCAUCUCAGACCAACUCACCUGGCAGUAAUGGCUCACCCACAGAAGGGCCUGGCCAGGCUGGCUCCCUCCAGCUGCUACAAUACCAGGGGACCUUUCCUGGGCUGGGCACUGAGCAUGAGGAGGUGGUUGGUCUAGAGCAACCUGGGAAUGGUGGCGGAGGAGGGACAGGAGCGGCCAGUAACGGAGGAGCAGGAGGGACAGGCAUGGAGAUAAGUCUGGAUCACUUUGACAUCUCUUUUGGAAACCAGUUUUCUGACCUCAUUAAUGACUUCAUCUCAGUGGAUGGUAGUGGAACAGCCAUGUCAGCUGGAGGGACCUUAUAUGCUCACCAGCUUGUCACAUCUCACAACUCAGAUAACCAGACCACAGCUGGUGGACCCCCACAGCAGGGCCAGGAAGAUGGAGGAGCCAGGGGCUCUGGUUACAGCCCCUCGGAGCUCUGCCUCCAACCCUGCUGCAGCCCCCAGUCUUUAAGUGGAGGGGCCAGUGCAGGAGGAGGCACAGGAGAGACAGGCUCAUUGUCCUACAUGAAUGUAGCAGAGGUGGUUUCUGCAGCUGUAGCCCAGGGUGCUCUGGGGAUGCUCCAGGCCACAGGCCGUCUUUUCAUGGUCACUGACUACUCCCCUGAGUGGUCCUACCCUGAGGGUGGAGUUAAGGUGCUGAUCACUGGGCCAUGGCAAGAGGCCACCUCAAAUUACAGCUGUUUGUUUGACCAGAUCUCAGUUCCAGCUUCUCUUAUCCAGCCAGGGGUGCUGCGUUGUUACUGCCCAGCUCAUGAUACAGGUCUGGUGACACUACAGGUGGCUGUCAGUAACCAGAUCAUCUCCAAUUCAGUGGUGUUUGAGUAUAAGGCCCGCGCACUUCCUUCACUGCCAUCAUCUCAGCACGACUGGCUUUCUCUGGAUGAUAACCAGUUCAGAAUGUCUAUCCUGGAGCGCUUGGAGCAGAUGGAGAGGAGGAUGGCAGAGAUGGCCAGCCACCAGCAAACGAGCGGUGCAGGGAGUGGUGGUGGAGGAGCUGGAGGUGGAGGCAACAAUAGCCAGUCACAGUGUGUAUCUGGCCAAACGCAAGCCAGCAGCUCCUUUGAGAGCCGUGUUGUGGUGGUCUGCGAGAAGAUGAUGAGCAGAGCUUGCUGGGCCAAGUCCAAGCAUUUAAUCCACUCCAAGACCUUCAGAGGCAUGACACUCCUUCAUCUGGCUGCAGGCCAGGGCUACGCCACCCUCAUCCAGACACUCAUCAAGUGGCGUACAAAGCAUGCUGAUAGUAUUGAUUUGGAGUUAGAAGUGGACCCUCUCAAUGUGGAUCACUUCUCGUGCACACCUCUGAUGUGGGCCUGUGCGCUGGGUCACCUGGAGGCAGCGGUGGUACUAUACAAAUGGGACAGACGUGCCCUAGCUAUCCCAGAUUCUCUAGGCCGCUUACCCCUGUCAAUUGCCCGCUCACGUGGCCAUACCAAAUUGGCAGAGUGUCUGGAGCAGUUACAGAGGGAAGAGCAGCAACCGCCAGCCCCUCUACCACCUACAACUCGCAUGUCUUUUUCCCCAGCCCCUGAUGCCCCCACCACAGACAGCUGGAUGGUCAGCUGGGCAAACACCAGUGUAGUAGCACCAAGUGGCAAGAAAGGAUGUCCUGCCACCACAACAACCACACCCAACUUGAGAAGGCCAAGGUCAGAACCCUCCAACUACUACAGCAGCGAGGGCCAAAGAGACCUCCCACUAGCUAAAAAACAUAAACCCAACCCAGAACUGUUUCAAACUCGGCCUGACAAGGCCAUGUCUGUUCCUUUGAGCCUGGAGCAGCAACAGCUGCAUAAGCUGUCCUCGAGUACUAAGAGCCUGUCCUCAGAAGUCCUGAGCUCAGACAAAGGACUGUCUACUGGAGGCAGCACAGGGACAGCAAGAUGGACCUCCAGAGAGAGUUUCUCCAGCAGCAGCAACUUGGGAAGGAAGGCGCUGGGUGUCAGUGGAGGCAGCAGCUUGGGGAAGGAGAAACUGGCCAACCGGUUACGGCAGCGGGAACAGUUAGGGAUGCUAGUGAUGUCAGAAAGUGAAAUGGCUGAUUCAGAGCUGCUAUCAUAUCGGGAGGAUCUAGAGAACCAGGACUGCCUCACACAGAUGGAUGACCUGCAGGUAAAUAUGAUGACUCUGGCUGAGCACAUAAUUGAAGCAACACCAGAGAGAAUCAAAAGGGAGAACUUCACCGCUGCAGACUCUGUGCCCUUAGACACAUCAGGGGUCAGCAACACCAUGAACUGGCUGGCCAACUACCUGGGAGACGUAGAACAGCUGCCAAGCAUCAUACAUCUACGAUCUCUGUAUAAUGAACCCCUGACCCCAUCAUCUAACCCCAGUUUGAGCCCCGGAGGGUCUCCGUUGAGAGAGGGCCCCCUGGAAAGGUCAACACUUCCUUCCCCAGCUGACUGGAGUGAGUUCAUCAAUGCCUCCAACAGCAAAGUGGAGCGAGACCUGGCCCAGCUGACUCUGUCAGAUCCAGAGCAGAGAGAGCUAUAUGAGGCGGCCCGCCUAGUCCAAACUGCCUUCCGCAAGUACAAGGGGCGGCCGCUCAGAGAGCAACAAGAGGUAGCUGCUGCUGUUAUACAACGUUGUUACAAGAAGUACAAACAGCUAACAUGGAUAGCCUUGAAGUAUGCACUUUAUAAGAAGAUGACGCAGGCCGCCAUCCUUAUCCAGAGUAAAUUCCGCAGCUACCACGAACAGAAGAAGUUCCAGCAGAGCAAGAGGGCUGCCGUGCUCAUUCAGCAAUACUACCGCAGCUACAAGGAGUUUGGCAGGCUGAAGCCACACCACCGUGGGGCUGCUGCUGCUCUGGUGCAGCACAAACUAAGAAGUAGUCUGCUCACAAAGAGGCAGGAUCAGGCUGCCAGGAAGAUUAUGAGGUUCCUACGACGUUGUCGCCACAGGUAG
rnacentral:lncRNA from 1 species